rnacentral:lncRNA from 1 species
UAGAACGUUUUGUUCAGGGUUCAGAAUUCGAGCUUAGAUAAAUUGUUGUAUUUGGUUAUAUCUGAUUUUUCGACACGUUUUGUGCUGAAUGUGCUAAAUGUUACCACUUUGAUAUUCUCUGAACUAUAUAUAAACAGUGCCGACACUCUUUUCUCUUUACCUUCGGGGAUGUGCUUACUGGUUGAGACUCCCUAUUCUGUCAGUGUCAUACUCUGAAAUAAGAAAGACUCAUCCGGAUGGCCUUUUGGUUCCUGGUAAGUUGCCCCCUCCUCGACUCGAUUUGUUCGCUCGGGUACACAGUCUAGAACACCAACCUAGGUUUUGAAUAUAGAAUAACUUGACUUCAUACUGGAUCCCUAGUAGGAACGCUUAUUUGCAUCACGUUGCAUUUUACUUAGGGGACUCAACAAAGGGGUUGGGUUCGUCUAGGACAAGCAACCUGAAAUGAACAG